UACGGGGGGUGCGAGCGUUGUCCGGAAUCACUGGGCGUAAAGGGCGCGUAGGUGGUCUGAUAAGGGUGUGGUGAAAGUCCGGGGCUCAACCCCGGAUCUGCCGUGCCGACUGUCAAACUCGAGGACUGUAGAGGCAGACGGAAUUCCGGGUGUAGCGGUGGAAUGCGUAGAGAUCCGGAGGAAGACCGGUGGCGAAGGCGGUCUGCUGGGCAGUUUCUGACACUGAGGCGCGACAGCGUGGGGAGCAAACAGG
rnacentral:rRNA from 1 species